UACGGGGGGGCAAGCGGUUGUUCGGAAUUACUGGGCGUAAAGGGCUCGGUAGGCGGCCAACUAAGUCAUACGUGAAAUCCCUCGGCUUAACCGGGGAACUGCGUCUGAUACUGGAUGGCUUGAGAUUGGGAGAGGGAUGCGGAAUUCCGAAGGUGUAGCGGUGAAAUGACGUAGAUAUCUGGAGGAACACCGGUGGCGAAGGCGGCAUCCUGGACCAACACUGACGCUGAGGAGCGAAAGCCAGGGAGCAAACGGG
rnacentral:rRNA from 1 species